rnacentral:rRNA from 1 species
GUGAGUAACACGUAGGUGAUCUGCCCUUGAGUUGGGGAUAGCCCAUGGAAACAUGGGGUAAUACCGAAUACGCUCGCGACCCUGUGGGGAUGUGAGGAAAAGCGCUUCGGCGCUGCUCGAGGAUGAGCCUGCGGCUGACUAGUUAGUUGGUGGGGUAACGGCCUACCAAGGCGACGAUCAGUAGCCGGCCUGAGAGGGUGAGCGGCCACACUGGGACUGAGAUACGGCCCAGACUCCUACGGGAGGCAGCAGCUAAGAAUCUUCUACAAUGGACGAAAGUCUGAUAGAGCGACGCCGCGUGGGUGAUGAAGGCCGGAAGGUUGUAAAGCCCUUUUCUAUUCGAGGAAUAAGGUGUGGAGGCAAUGCCACACUGAUGACGGUAGGGUAGGAAUAAGCCCCGGCCAAUUACGUGCCAGCAGCCGCGGUAACACGUAUGGGGCGAGCGUUGUUCGGAAUCAUUGGGCGUAAAGGGCGCGUAGGCGGAUAUGCAAGCUUGGUGUGAAAGACCGCAGCUCAACUGCGGGAGCGCGCUGAGAACUGCAUAUCUUGAGUUCAAGAGGGGAAGCUGGAAUUCCAGGUGUAGGGGUGAAAUCUGUAGAUAUCUGGAAGAACAUCAGUGGCGAAGGCGAGCUUCUGGCUUUGAACUGACGCUGAGGCGCGAAAGCGUGGGGAGCGAACAGGAUUAGAUACCCUGGUAGUCCACGCUGUAAACGAUGUGCACUAGGUGUUGGGCCGUUGAAGGCUCAGUGCCGUAGCUAACGCGUUAAGUGCACCGCCUGGGGAGUAUGCUCGCAAGAGUGAAACUCAAAGGAAUGAUCGGGGGCCCGCACAAGCGGUGGAGCAUGUGGUUUAAUUAGAUGAUACGUGAGGAACCUUACCAGGGCUUGACAUAUACAGGAAUGCGCAUGAGAGUGCGCAGCCCUUUGGGGUCUGUAUACAGGUGCUGCAUGGCUGUCGUCAGCUCGUGCCAUGAGGUGUUGGGUUAAGUCCCGCAACGAGCGCAACCCCGAUUGUCUGUGGACAGCAUUUCGGAUGGGGACUCAGACAAGACUGCCGGUGACAAACCGGAGGAAGGUGGGGACGACGUCAAGUCAUCAUGGC